GUCCCUGUAGCUCACUGGUCGAGUUUCUGCUUUAGAUGAGGUAUCUAUUGUCGUUCGUUUAAUCUGCAGACGCAGUGGGUUCGAUUCCCACCAGGGUCA